GCUCGCUGCGCCACGCACCCGGGCCUCUGGCAGCCCGUUUCUUUCAAACAGACCUAAAAUGUCGGAGUUCUGACUUCCUCUUCUCCCGUAUGCAGCCAGCCUCUGAGUUUUAGGGCCUCAGUUACGAUAACGUUGAAAGGUUGGAGACCUGACGUGACUUUGGAGCGUGGAGCAAGCUCUGGUUGAGGCUUCGCAGAGUCAAGGCCCGCUCCCUGGGACCCGCAGCCCGGCGCGUCCGCCCGGCUGACCUCAGUAACCAGCACCAGGCACAAGUCCCGGGGCUGCCCGCCAGGGCCACAGGUGACAUGGGGUCUCACGCCCCCGAGAAGGCCACAGGAAGAGCUGAGAAGGCCUUUUCUGGAGGAAUUGAGGAAAAGCGCACGGAGCCAGUCAGGACUUGAGGGAAAAGAAGAAUAGAAGAUGUUUAGAAGAGCAGGAAACAGGGUGGAGGCCUGGUGACGGAAAGGAGCAGUCGCGGAAGCGUGGGCUCAGCGUGGCCCGCGCGUGGAAGGACCUCGGCGUGGGCGGGAGACGUUAAGGGGACCGGGGGGCUGAGGAGCCAGGGAGCCAUCGCCGGACCACAGUCAUUCCAGAGUUUCUGCUGGAAUAUAAAUGACUUUCCCAUGAAUCCACCGCCCAAACCCACCUGCAGUAUCUUUGUUUACUAUCUUCGUCUCUUUUCUUUUAUCCGGAGGGAAGAAGCCGCUUCUGACUGUCCCAGAGAGGAACUCCCGAGAGAAGAAAGACUGUGUGGUUGCAUCUCCAGCACGUCCCCACUUAGUGCCACCAAGCAGGGGAGUGGCUGUGGCACAAGGCUGGCACCUGCACCGUGAGACCCUCCAUCAGUGUCCCCAGCAACAACUUCUCAGAGCCUCUGAUGGGAUAUUUUGUGUUGUGACUCUUGGGAAGGUGGGUACAGCAUGCACUGUUCUUCUGCCAUAUUUGACCACAGAAUCCUUUUUUCAAAUACUCCCUGAAAAUCUGCAGAACACAGUUUAGGGACCACUGCCCCAAGUUGGAAGAAACAUGGUGUAGACGGGGGACUUCUUCACUGCCACACCAGUUGAGGGAAGGGCCAGGGUGUUAGGACACUUCAAGGGGACUUGAAGGCAUCACUGUACAUAGUCAAUCACAUGAAAAAGCAACAGGACCUUGUCAGCAUGUGGAGCGGACCCUUGUUUAUGGAGUCACCAUUUGUAGUUUACAGCUGACCUAGUUGUAUCCUGCCUACCUCCAGGGGGCGCCAUUCAUAAGACCCUGGGUUGACUGAGGCCCUUUGGAGUCCAGCGAGGCAGUAGGAGCCCUCCAAAAACAGGUUUAUGUUUUAAACUGUAAAAACUAAAACAAAGUUACAGAGUUGUUGGCCAGAAUGUCCAGCACAGUCUCUCUCACCCUUGAGUACAUCCAUUGACUCUCAUUUUUUCUGUUAGUGCAGCUUCUCGGGGUGGGAGUGGGUAAGGCUCUUAAGAGUUCAAACUCAGACCCCAGACUUGGUUCCAUCAUUGCUUAUCCCACCAAGCUGAGGCGAAUAAGACAUAUUAAAGCUCUUAUCAAUGUGA